AUGAUGAUUUAGAUUCAAAGUUUAUGGUUUAAACUGAAUAACCAUGAAGAAAAUUUUCUAGGGCGGUCUGAAAUA